rnacentral:rRNA from 1 species
AGAGCGAACGCUGGCGGCAGGCCUAACACAUGCAAGUCGAACGGACCCUUCGGGGUUAGUGGCGGACGGGUGAGUAACACGUGGGAACGUGCCUUUAGGUUCGGAAUAGCUCCUGGAAACGGGUGGUAAUGCCGAAUGUGCCCUUCGGGGGAAAGAUUUAUCGCCUUUAGAGCGGCCCGCGUCUGAUUAGCUUGUUGGUGGGGUAAUGGCCCACCAAGGCUACGAUCAGUAGCUGGUCCGAGAGGAUGACCAGCCACAUUGGGACUGAGACACGGCCCAAACUCCUACGGGAGGCAGCAGUGGGGAAUCUUGCGCAAUGGGCGAAAGCCUGACGCAGCCAUGCCGCGUGUAUGAUGAAGGUCUAGGAUUAGUAAAAUACUUUACACCGGUGAAGAAUAAUGACUGUAGACCGGAGAAGAAGCCCCGGACUAACCGUUCGUAGCCAGACCGCCGAC